AAACCAGCACCUCAAGUGGUCAGGAUGAUUAUUGGGCCUAAAGCAUCCGUAGCCGGCUCUGUAAGUUUCCGGUUAAAUUCAUUAGCUCAACUAAUGGCCUGCCGGAAAUACUGCAGAGCUAGGAAGUGGGAGAGGUAGACGGUACUCGGUAGGAAGGGGUAAAAUCCUUUGAUCUAUUGAUGACCACCUGUGGCGAAGGCGGUCUACCAGAACACGUUCGACGGUGAGGGAUGAAAGCUCGGGGAGCAAACAGGAUUAGAUACCCCGGUAGUCC
rnacentral:rRNA from 1 species